rnacentral:rRNA from 1 species
UACAGAGGUGGCAAGCGUUGUUCGGAAUUACUGGGCGUAAAGGGUGCGUAGGCGGUCUUGUCAGUCAGACGUGAAAUCCCCAGGCUUAACUUUGGAACUGCGUCGGAUACUGGAUGGCUUGAAUUCGGGAGAGGGAUGCAGAAUUCCAGGUGUAGCGGUGAAAUGCGUAGAUAUCUGGAGGAAUACCGGUGGCGAAGGCGGCAUCCUGGACCGACAUUGACGCUGAGGAGCGAAAGCUAGGGGAGCAAACGGG